ensembl:lncRNA
CAUCAUUCGAAGCUGGACCGUCAUCUUAUCUCCAUGAACGCUGACUCCUGCCUGUUGUGUUCCGGGAUCCUCAAGUCUGCUGGUCCUCCGCUCCGCCUUGGAUUCUGUUUCUAACGGAGGAUUCCACCUUUUGCCAGCUUCCUCCUGGAACCCACAGGCUGCAUCUUGGAUGAAACACCCUGGGAGAAAUGCAUACCUCCAUUGAACUCAUGAAUGCCAACUUACCCUCCACGCAUUGAGUUCCAAAGAGGGAGAGAGCCAGAUAAAGCCAGGCCAGGGACUGUUUCCCUAUUAGUCAGCUAAGUUUCCAAGCCCUGGUAUCACCAGACUAUUUGUAUAUUGUUUUGUACGUUGAAUUAUUACACCCUCUGUUCCAUACUUAAUAUAGUUCUGUUUUUAUGCUUUGCAUAAAAUACUUUUAGUCUGGGGAUUUCUGUUCAGGAUUAGUUUGGGUUUAGGCUGGGUUUAGAUUUUGUGUUUUCAGUUGUUCUUCUGCCUUACUAAUGCCAUACGUGGGUUAACUGUAGUUUCAGUUUGUCAUUCUCGUGUAGUUGUCCUCCAUACCGCUAGAUGGUUUCUGGUUUCAUAGUUUAGUUUGGUUUCUGGGUUAGGAGUUCUAUUUCCGGUUCCUGUAAAUAUCUUCUUGCAUUGGUAAAUGUUUGUCUGCUGUUUCAUUUCCUGCUGCUGAGCCUUUUUGAACCUGCCAUAACACUAAUAUUCUGUUAUAGAAGAAAGCAUACAACAGAUACACUGACAACGAAGUAUAGUGUGUGCAAAAAUGGCAAAUAAAACAUACGACACUGGACUAAUCUACUCAAUCCUGAAAUGCAGGAAACCAGCAGUCUAAAGGAACCUUUGUUCCCAACCCAUCAACAAUCGUUGGGGACAAUUUAUUGCAACCGUCUUGAAAGAAAGUUGAGGGAGGCUUGGAGUAGGUGCAGCCAGGACCAUGACAUUUAGUUCUUUAAAAAGAAUUGCUUAGACUAAAAGAUCCAAAUAUUUCUGGUGGAAAUGCAGCUUUUGUAUACAUAUGGCACUUAAAAACUCUUCAUUGUACAGUAGAAUCACUUGUGAUGAGAAGCCGUUGUGGAUAAAAGCAAUAAAAGAUUCUUUUCGAUCAAAGAUAAAGAUCAUUGCAUUAAAG